rnacentral:rRNA from 1 species
UACGUAGGGUGCGAGCGUUGUCCGGAAUUAUUGGGCGUAAAGAGCUCGUAGGCGGUUUGUCACGUCUGCUGUGAAAUCCCGAGGCUCAACCUCGGGCCUGCAGUGGGUACGGGCAGACUGGAGUGCGGUAGGGGGAGAAUGGAAUUCCUGGUGUAGCGGUGGAAUGCGCAGAUAUCAGGAGGAACACCGAUGGCGAAGGCAGUUCUCUGGGCCGUAACUGACGCUGAGGAGCGAAAGCAUGGGGAGCGAACAGG